UGGCUCCUGAUAAACCUCUUGACUCUGCAGUUCUUUCACGCCUCAAGCAGUUCUCAGCAAUGAACAAACUAAAGAAAAUGGCUUUACGUGUGAUUGCCGAGAGGCUUUCAGAAGAAGAAAUCGGUGGUCUCAAGGAGCUAUUCAAAAUGUUAGACACAGACAAUAGUGGAACAAUAACCUUCGAGGAAUUAAAAGAGGGUUUGAGGCGAGUAGGUUCUGAACUGAUGGAGUCUGAGAUCAAGGAUCUUAUGGAUGCGGCAGACAUUGACAACAAU